rnacentral:rRNA from 1 species
AAACUCAAAGGAAUUGACGGGGACCCGCACAAGCGUGGAUGAUGUGGUUAAUUCGAUGCAACGCGAAAACCUUACCACCUUUGACAUGUACGGAACCCUUUAGAGAUAGAGGGGUGCUCGAAAGAGAGCCGUAACACAGGUGCUGCAUGGCUGUCGUCAGCUCGUGUCGUGAGAUGUUGGGUUAAGUCCCGCAACGAGCGCAACCCUUGUCAUUAGUUGCUACAUUCAGUUGGGCACUCUAAUGAGACUGCCGGUGACAAGCCGGAGGAAGGCGGGGAUGACGUCAAGUCCUCAUGGCCCUUAUAGGUGGGGCUACACACGUCAUACAAUGGCUGGUACAAAGGGUUGCCAACCCGCGAGGGGGAGCCAAUCCCAUAAAGCCAGUCGUAGUCCGGAUCGUAGUCUGCAACUCGACUACGUGAAGUCGGAAUCGCUAGUAAUCGUGGAUCAGAAUGUCACGGUGAAUACGUUCCCGGGUCUU